rnacentral:rRNA from 1 species
UGAGCAAUCUGCCCUUCUCUUCGGAAUAAGCGUUGGAAACGACGUCUAAUGCCGAAUACGACCUCCUUUCGCAUGAUCGGAGGUGGAAAGCUCCGGCGGAGAAGGAUGAGCUCGCGGCCUAUCAGCUAGUUGGUGUGGGUAAUGGCCCUCAAGGCGACGACGGGUAGCCGGCCUGGAGAGGGUGACCCGGCCACACGUGGGACUGAGACACGGUCCAGACUCCGUACGGGAGNAGCG